rnacentral:rRNA from 1 species
GUGACUAAGCGUACACGGUGGAUGCCUUGGCAGUCAGAGGCGAUGAAAGACGUAGUAACUUGCGAUAAGCCCAGAUUAGGUAGUAACAACCAUUUGAGUCUGGGAUUUCUGAAUGGGGAAACCCACUAGCAUAAGCUAGUAUCGUUAUGUGAAUACAUAGCAUAAUGAGGCGAACCGGGGGAACUGAAACAUCUAAGUACCCCGAGGAAAAGAAAUCAACCGAGAUUCCGAAAGUAGCGGCGAGCGAAAUUGGACUAGCCCUUAAGCUUUACACGCGUUAGACGAACGG